ACUCUAACGAAGACGUGCCCGGUCGACAAGACCGGAGGAAGGUGGGGAUGACGUCAAGUCCUCAUGGCCCUUAUAGGUGGGGCUACACACGUCAUACAAUGGCUGGUACAAAGGGUUGCCAACCCGCGAGGGGGAGCCAAUCCCAUAAAGCCAGUCGUAGUCCGGAUCGUAGUCUGCAACUCGACUACGUGAAGUCGGAAUCGCUAGUAGUCGUGGAUCAGAAUGUCACGGUGAAUACGUUCCCGGGUCUU
rnacentral:rRNA from 1 species